GACGAACGCUGGCGGCGCGCCUAACACAUGCAAGUCGAACGAGCGAGCGAGAGCUUGCUUUCUUGAGCGAGUGGCGAACGGGUGAGCAACGCGUGAGGAACCUGCCUCAAAGAGGGGGACAACAGUUGGAAACGACUGCUAAUACCGCAUAAGCCCACGGUGCCGCCUGGCACAGAGGGAAAAGGAGCAAUCCGCUUUGAGAUGGCCUCGCGUCCGAUUAGCUAGUUGGUGAGGUAACGGCCCACCAAGGCGACGAUCGGUAGCCGGACUGAGAGGUUGAACGGCCACAUUGGGACUGAGACACGGCCCAGACUCCUACGGGAGGCAGCAGUGGGGAAUAUUGCACAAUGGGGGAAACCCUGAUGCAGCGACGCCGCGUGGAGGAAGAAGGUCUUCGGAUUGUAAACUCCUGUUGUUGGGGAAGAUAAUGACGGUACCCAACAAGGAAGUGACGGCUAACUACGUG
rnacentral:rRNA from 1 species